rnacentral:rRNA from 1 species
AGAGGGUGCAAACGUUGUUCGGAAUUACUGGGCGUAAAGCGCGUGUAGGCGGCAGGGUGUGUCGGAUGUGAAAUCCCGUGGCUCAACCACGGAAGUGCACCCGAAACUACCCAGCUCGAGUCUCGGAGAGGAAGGUGGAAUGCUUGGUGUAGAGGUGAAAUUCGUAGAUAUCAAGCGGAACACCGGUGGCGAAGGCGGCCUUCUGGACGAUGACUGACGCUGAGACGCGAAAGCGUGGGGAGCAAACAGGAUUAGAUACCCUGGUAGUCCACGCCGUAAACGAUGAGUGCUAGGUGUCACGGGCUUUGACCCCUGUGGUGCCGUAGCUAACGCAGUAAGCACUCCGCCUGGGGAGUACGGCCGCAAGGCUA